AUUGAACGCUGGCGGCAUGCUUUACACAUGCAAGUCGGACGGCAGCACAGAGAAGCUUGCUUCUUGGGUGGCGAGUGGCGAACGGGUGAGUAACAUAUCGGAACGUACCGAGCAGUGGGGGAUAACUAAUCGAAAGAUUAGCUAAUACCGCAUAUUUUCUGAGGAAGAAAGCAGGGGACCUUUGGGCCUUGCGCUGUUUGAGCGGCCGAUAUCUGAUUAGCUAGUUGGUGGGGUAAAGGCCUACCAAGGCGACGAUCAGUAGCGGGUCUGAGAGGAUGAUCCGCCACACUGGAACUGAGACACGGCCCAGACUCCUACGGGAGGCAGCAGUGGGGAAUUUUGGACAAUGGGCGCAAGCCUGAUCCAGCCAUGCCGCGUGUCUGAAGAAGGCCUUCGGGUUGUAAAGGACUUUUGUCAGGGAAGAAAAGGGCGGGGUUAAUACCCCUGUCUGAUGACGGUACCUGAAGAAUAAGCACCGGCUAACUACGUG
rnacentral:rRNA from 1 species